rnacentral:rRNA from 1 species
GACGAACGCUGGCGGCGUGCUUAACACAUGCAAGUCGAACGGAAAGGCCCCUUUGGGGGUCCUCGAGUGGCGAACGGGUGAGUAACACGUGAGUAACCUUCCCUUGACUUCGGGAUAACUUCAGGAAACUGGGGCUAAUACCGGAUAGGAAUCCUUGCUGCAUGGUGGGGGUUGGAAAGCUUCGGCGGUUUUGGAUGGACUCGCGGCUUAUCAGCUUGUUGGUGGGGUAGUGGCUUACCAAGGCUUUGACGGGUAGCCGGCCUGAGAGGGCGACCGGCCACAGUGGGACUGAGAUACGGCCCAGACUCCGACGGGAGGCAGCAGUGGGGAAUAUUGCACAAUGGGCGGAAGCCUGAUGCAGCAACGCCGCGGGCGGGAUGACGGCCUUCGGGUUGUAAACCGCUUUCAGCAGGGGCGAAGCUUGUGGUGACGGUACCUGCAGAAGAAGCACCGGCUAACUACGUG